CAAUGUAAAUCUUCUAUUGACACCAACUACAUGAAAUCGGUACUGUCCAAGGGAUGCAGCUUAAUCUGUUCAAGGCGCUAAUGUGCCAAUGCCAGAUGUAAUUUUUGAACCACAUGUUGCAUAAUAUGUAGGAACAAAAGGCUUAGUUCAAUGAACAUAAAUGACUGGAAUUAUUGCAAUGAACGUCCAAACAGUCUAGCUCCUUCCCUUUAUAUGAAGAAGACAUAAUAUGGAUAAGUGCUCAAUUGCACUGUCUCUUCUCAGCGGAUAAAUGGCAAUUGGGCAAUUGAUCUCCACCCGGUGAUCUCCACCCAAGCUCAACUUGAAUUAGAUAUGCUUAUGACGACUUUACAAUCCCAGCAGAUACAUCCUGAAAGACCAGAUAACAGAAGCUGUACACUGAGCCCGGUUGGAUUUACGACAACAGCAUACUAUGAGCUAAUAACAUAUCAUGGCAUCCUAUGGCGCCCGGCACACUUCAUCUGGAUUAAAGCAAUACCAAACACCUGCAAAAUCUUCCUUUGGCUAGCCUUUCGGGGAAGGCUAAACACAAAUGAUAACAGGGUGAAGAAAUGCUGGGCAUCUGAUCCACAUUGUGCGGUUUGCCCGGCUAUAGAAACAGCUAAUCACAUCAUUCUACGCUGCAAGUUAGCCACUGAAAUCUGGAACAAACUCAACCUCCUUGAUCAGGCAAUUCAGAGUGCUGACAUUCUACAGUUCACCGAGCAUGUCCUGGGAAUUCUACCGACUCAACUUAAACUGGGAUGGCCAAUAUGCUUCGCUGCCUGUUCACACAGCUUAUGAAAAGCACGCAAUCAUAGAACCUUCAGAGAAGAAGAACUCUCCGUAACUAAUGUGACGCAUCAAAUCAAGGACUGCCUACACUUAUGGAAAAACCGAGUUAAACCACAAUGUCAGCCGCCAAUAUGUAGUUGGGCAGCUCUACUAGCAUAGAUGUGGUUUCUGGGUGGGGGGUCUCUCUAAUCCCUUUCUUCCUUCUUUUCUACCUCUUCUUUUUCUUGCCUUUCUGCUUGAAUGUAUUUUUGUUAUAUCUUUUUUGACCACCAUUAAUACAAUGGUUAUAAGGUAGAGCCUCUCUACCUUUUCAGUCAAAAAAAAAUAUGGAUAAGUGCAAGCAAGUUUUCAUCAA